GAGAAAGCUACAUUUCCAUAACGGAUGAGUCUUAAUGAAGUGAAAAGUGUAUUAAAAACCAUCAAUUGUGUGGGCUCUGUACAAGGUGCAGAACUCUGACUCCUCUUCCAGCCUUGGAACACCAUGCAGCUCAGACAUGAUGCUCCUGCAACACCCAGAUCGCAGUGCAGGAGGAUCACAAGAGGAACUAGGCUGCUGGCCUCCAUCCACUCAUCUGGGUGCUUCAGGGGAUGGCAUGAACUUGCAGCGAAGAGGGUUGGACUGAGUAUUUGGAAAUGGUUCUUCACCAAGAGAACUGGAACAGAAUCCCCAGAGAAGUGGUCCUCCUCUUAUUGGGUAAUGAGAUGCUACUGCUCUCUGCCAUUCACUUACUCCAGAAAGUAAAACGAAUGAGAAUUUUCUUUUCAUAAUCUCUUAUUCCUUCUCACAUGCAUACUAUUUUAUUAUACGGAGCUAGAAGGCAAAAUGUAAUAAAUUCACAUUUGAUAUAAAUUGCAAUCAGGACUGCUACUUCAGAAAAAGGAAAAGGAAAAAAAAAAAAAAAAAAAGGAGCUGCCUCUCAAUAAGAUGUAAGAAUUGAACUGUUCAGAAAACUUUUAUUUUCUCUAACUUUUUACAGUUGAGAAGUUACCCAUCUCUGACAACAGAACAGUCAAUUACUCUAUUUUUUCAUAUAUUUAUGAGAUAAGAUCUCUUUGCAUUUACAUUACUGAGAUCAGAAUAUAGAUUUAUAUGCAUAAUCUACAAGUUUUCAGUUUACUUAUAAAUGUCGCAAAGGCUGCAAGUAGUUCUUAGUUAGGAUUUUCAUAUUUGGUAGAAUUAAUACUUCUGGAGGCCAUUCUAACCCAUUCUUCUACAGACUUUGGAAGUCGUCUGGGUGACAGUGAUUAUUAUAGCAUUAUCUACAGUAGUUGUUAAAUCAGAUGAAAAAUACAGCUAACGUGUUGCAUGGAUGUGAAAUAAAACAUUAGCAAUGCAAUCAACAAUAGCACCUUUGAAGAACUGUUGUCUCAGUUGUCUCAGAAUUUGCAAGAUAAAUGUUUUUCACUCUAAUGGAUAUAUAUAGGUCACUGAAAAUAAUGCCUCCUAUUUAUUUCCAUGGAAACUAUAGCAGAUACAAUAAGAGCAAUGCCACUGUUUGAUAGAGUGAAUUCUCAGCACUAAACACUAUUUUUCAACAUAGUCAUAAUCGCUGGUAAAACAUUUUCACCAACAAUGAACAAGGGCCUGCAUGCUGUGCUUAUAAAAUUCUUUACCGGUGGAGGUGACCUGCUGUUUUACAGCUGCUCUGACAGCAUCGUUAUUGGAAUGCACUGCUCUCCACCUCACUAUGCUCACAUCCACUGUUUGGGCUCCACAAAUGUUCAGAGGAAUGAGUCUUAUCUUGAGUUUUGGACUCUCUUAGGAGAUGAUUAGUGAUCAAAAAACAACAAUAUUGCUUUAUGCUAGCGUAGUGUGGAGCUCAGAAUGACUUAAAUAGAUUGCUUUAAAUGCAUUCAUAGCCCAAGAGCUUCUAUCUGCUUCAUCUACAAAUUGAGCCUACCUACUGAUACAUAUAAGCAACAACAAACCUGAACUUAAGGUUGCAUGUCAAAUCUCUACACUUCUUUCUCUGCUAAAAUUCUGUCCUCAUAUUGUAUAAAGCCACAACAAGUUUAAUUAAACUGAAACCCGAUAUCAAUUCUGCAGUAGCAGUGUUUGACUGUGGACC